rnacentral:lncRNA from 1 species
UGAGCAUAUAUUGCAUACGUGAGGAGUCCCGUAGAGGUAUACAGACUAAUGUUUUUUCUAGAGAAACAUUUUACAAAUAGAAGUGGAGGCAUCAGGAAAACGCCUACUAGUUCUGUGCAGGAAUUGCCAAGAUGGAUUAAGGUGAUUUGGACUAUGGGCAAGAAUUGGAUCUGGGUCAGGUGCUAUUACAGUAGUGACCAUGGCAGCAACUAUUUAUUCAACCAUUCAGCAAAUAAUUAACGCGCCAGAUUCAUUUCUUAUUCUUUUUUCAUUUUUCACCUACCCCUAACUCCAACCGGCUGAAAGAGAGUGGAAUUUAAUGUCAUUUUUACCAUAGAAAGAAUGCUUCACCCUAGUGUUGCACAUCACACAUCUCUUUUUCUCUAUUGCGUUUAGGCAUGAGUAAUAUUGAA